rnacentral:rRNA from 1 species
UACGGAGGGAGCAAGCGUUACUCGGAAUUAUUGGGCGUAAAGGGCGCGUAGGCGAUUUGAAAAGUCUUGUGUGAAAGCCCCGAGCUUAACUCGGGAAGUGCACAAGAAACUGUUGAAUUUGAGUUCCGGAGAGGAAGGCAGAAUUCCCGGUGUAGCGGUGAAAUGCGUAGAUAUCGGGAGGAAUACCAGUGGCGAAGGCGGCCUUCUGGACGGAUACUGACGCUGAGGCGCGAAAGCCAGGGGAGCAAAGCGGGG